UACGGGGUAGCAAGCGUUGUUCGGAUUUACUGGGCGUAAAGGGCGCGUAGGCGGCCACCGCAAGUCGACUGUGAAAUCUCCGGGCUUAACCUGGAAAGGUCAGCCGAUACUGCGGGGCUAGAGUGCAGAAGGGGCAACUGGAAUUCUCGGUGUAGCGGUGAAAUGCGUAGAUAUCGAGAGGAACACCUGCGGCGAAGGCGGGUUGCUGGGCUGACACUGACGCUGAGGCGCGAAAGCUAGGGGAGCGAACGGG
rnacentral:rRNA from 1 species